rnacentral:tRNA from 1 species
GCAUGUAGCUUGGUGGUAGAAUGCUUGCCUAGCAUGAAUGAGGCCCUGGGUUCAAUUCUCAGCACUGCA